GGGCGGGGGAAUUUCCUCCUUCCUAACUGCUGUGCCUCCUUCGACAGUCCGCAGUUUAGAAACAUUUUAUAGGAGUAGCUGAAAAUGGCCGCUUACCUGAACAUCGGAGGACAUGGACAUGUGGGAGAUGAGCCCUCAGAGGAAGAAUAUCGCCGGCAGGCCGCUCUAUUCCUGACCAGGCAUAGGCCGGAGCUCAUCCAGAGGGUCAAACCGGUACUGCCCAUAGCAGACCAGCUCCUCUCUCAGGAGUUCAUUGGACCGGAGACCUACGCAAACAUCCGGGCUGGUGCCACCUAUCAGAACCAAAUGAGGGACCUGUAGGAUGGCCUGAGCUCAGCUCAGGGCAAACUGGCCCUCUGCAGGAUCCUACAAAGAGACCAUUCCCACCUAGUGGAGGAGCUGCAGAAUGCAAGAUGAAGGCAGACAUAUUGAUUGGAUUAGAUUCUUUAUUGUCCCCCAUCAGACAGUCCAUUCCAUCAGGUCUUUGUAGUACGCAUCUCAUUUACAAUACAUAUAGACACCAUCUUCAUAUAUAGACACAUAAACAUCCUCAGACAUCCAUAUACAAUACAUAUAGGCUACACACAUCUAUUCCUAUACACUCCAAUAAAUUCAAUCCUCUACAUUCCUAUACACUCCUCUCCUCCACAUACAACCAUUUUUGUUUGUUUGUUUGCUUGUUUGUUUGUUUUACCCUCCCCCUCCUUUGCCCAGCAUUUACUCUGGAUGAUAUGAGGUCAUGCACACACACACACACAAACACACACACACACAAACACACACACACACACACACACACACACACACACACACACACACACACACACACACACACACACACACACACACACACACACACACACAUUCUUGUCUUUUAAUUUGUCAGGAAACUCGAGCAGCAAAUACAGCCAACAAGUAUGUCACGACCAUGGAGGUAGUAUAAGAACUGGAGAGAGUGAAUAAGUCCUGCCUCCAGUCAUUUCAAUGGGAAAUGCUAGGCUAGUGAAUUCAGCCAAAAUUGAACGAAUUUUUGAGCUUCAAAGAUGGAGUCGUUUCCACCACCAGUUUUCUCAGCCAAUUACGUGCCACGUUAAUGACUGACUUACGAUUGACCAGAAAGAUAUAUAGAAGAUGGGCAUUAGAUGCAUGGAGGUGCCAACCACACACCUGUAUAGGUAUGUGUGCCCAACACUAAACGCAUGCACCCACCAAUCGCGUCCACCCUCUUUGAGCGAAGUGGUGGUGGAAUUGCGACGAGGAAGUGCCUUGCUAAUCGGCGAAGCUGAUCAGUCAAAUCCUGACCCCCUGGUCACGACACCACCAGGUUCUCCAUCAGUCUCUACUCCUCGUCACUCUGCUCCAACGAUCUCCCAAUCUAAUUCCCCUGUCUACUAAUUGCCCAAUCAUCUUAUCCACUUCCCCAAUCAUCCGAUCUCCACUCUGCUACUCCCCAGAACCUAGCCAAUCUCCUCUUCUACUCCCCAGCACCUGUAGCCAAUCUCCUGCUGCCCAUUUAAACCCCUGUCACCCUGCUCUCUCUCCAUCUGGCCUCUUCAACACAGACACUAAAUCCAGCACACGGACUGCUCCUUGUCUCUGAAGCUCUGCUCCUCAUUUCCUGAAGUGCCUGCUAUGACAAGAUUCAAGAUUCAAGAUUCAAGAUUAGUUUAUUACGUCUUAUUAUAGGUUUGAAGCCUAUAAAGAGUAAAAAUUGUUGUGUUUUUCUUGUGUCCUCAAAAAGAUUUUAAAAAUAAAAAUAAAAAAGAGGGGGGGGGGGGUGGAAAAAAGUGCAAAGAAAGUGCCUUGUUGUCUUCAGCAUGAAUUCAGUAAUCUUAUUGCUUGGUGGAAGAAACUACUUUGGAGUCUGGUAGUAUGAGAUUUCAGGCUUCUGUACCGUUUCCCAGAUGGUAACAUAGUAAACAGUCCAUGGUUGGGGUGACUAGGAUCAGCCAAGAUUUUCUUUGCCUUCCUGAUGCUCCUUCCCUCAAAUAGCUCCAGUAUGGAGGGUAAGUCACAGCCGCAUAUAUUCUGAGCUGUACGCACAACCCUCUGUAGAGCUCUCCUGUUGGCUUGAGAGCAGUUCCCAUACCAUGCAGUAAUGGUCCCUGUCAGUAUGCUCUCGAUGGUGCCUCUGUAAAACGACCUCAGGAUCUUGGGUCUCAUCCCAAACUUCCUCAAUCGUCUGAGGUGGUACAGACGUUGCUGGCUUUUUUUAACAAUGCGCUGUGUGUGACUGUCCCAGGUGAGGUCCUCUGAGAUGGUAACGCCAAGGAAUUUAAAGUCUCUCACCCUCUCCACUGUCUCACCGUUGAUGUUAAUGGUUUCAAACUGGUGUUCU